AAGAAUAAUCUUUUUUUAGAAA
rnacentral:tRNA from 1 species